AUUGAACGCUGGCGGCAGGCCUAACACAUGCAAGUCGAACGAGUGGCGGACGGGUGAGUAAUGUCUGGGACACUGCCUGAUGGUGGGGGAUAACUACUGGAAACGGUAGCUAAUACCGCAUACCAUCAGAUGUGCCCAGAUGGGAUUGGCUUGUUGGUGGGGUAACGGCUCACCAAGGCGACGAUCCCUAGCUGGUCUGAGAGGAUGACCAGGCACACUGGAACGGAGACACGGGCCAGACGCCUACGGGAGGCAGCAGUGGGGAAUAGUGCACAAUGGGCGAAAGCCUGAUGCAGCCAUGCCGAGUGUAUGAAGAAGGCAAUGGGGUUGUAAAGGACUUUCAGCGGGGAGGCGUUACCCGCAGAAGAAGGACCGGCUAACUCCGUGCCAGCAGCCGCGGUAAUUC
rnacentral:rRNA from 1 species